rnacentral:rRNA from 1 species
ACAUCCAGCGAACUUGGCAGAGAUGCCUUGGUGCCUUCGGGAACGCUGAGACAGGUGCUGCAUGGCUGUCGUCAGCUCGUGUUGUGAAAUUGUUGGGUUAAGUCCCGNAACGAGCGCAACCCUUAUCCUUUGUUGCCAGCGAUUCGGUCGGGAACUCAAAGGAGACUGCCGGUGAUAAACCGGAGGAAGGUGGGGAUGACGUCAAGUCAUCAUGGCCCUUACGAGUAGGGCUACACACGUGCUACAAUGGCGCAUACAAAGAGAAGCGACCUCGCGAGAGCAAGCGGACCUCAUAAAGUGCGUCGUAGUCCGGAUCGGAGUCUGCAACUCGACUCCGUGAAGUCGGAAUCGCUAGUAAUCGUGGAUCAGAAUGCCACGGUGAAUACGUUCCCGGGCCUUGUACACACCGCCCGUCACACCAUGGGAGUGGGUUGCAAAAGAAGUAGGUAGCUUAACCUCCGGGAGGGCGCUUACCACUUUGUGAUUCAUGACUGGGGUGAAGUCGUAACAAGGUAGGCGUAGCGAG